ensembl:lncRNA
AGAGAGUAGAGAGGUAGGGCGCGCUGGAGGACGGCGCUAAGAGUUUAAAAUCUAAUCAUAGACCUGUCAACAUGUAUUAAUGUGAGUGGAUGGGAGCUGAAGGAAAAUCAAAAUGCAGACAAGAGAAAAGAAUGGUGUCUCCAGUGUCGGGGAGAUAUACUGUAGGAGGCAACACUAGCCAGAGGUGGGCCACAAUAGUUUUUUCCUUUAAGGAGAAUGUUCACAGUACCUCUGACUACAAUGAAUAUGACAUGCCACAGUAGACUAAAGGAAAAUCCUCAACCGUGCCCUCAGUUUAAGGCAACGUGCCACCUUUCUGUGCCACCGGGCAGUUUGACUUUGGUAGCGGGGGGCAUCUAAUGGAAAUGAUCUCACUCUUCUGUCACCACCCGAUGUCACAGGAAGGCCAAAGAGAUCAUCAAGGACAACAACCACCCGAGUCACUGCCUGUUCACCCCGCUAUCAUCCAGAAGGCGAGGUCAGUACAGGUGCAUCAAAGCUGGGACCGAUAGACUGAAAAAGUGCUUCUAUCUCAAGGCCAUCAGACUGUCAAAUAGCCAUCACUAGCACAUUAGAGGCUGCUGUUCUACAUACAUAGACUUGAAAUCUCUGGCCACUUUAAUAAUGUUUGCAUAUUUUGCAUUACUCAUCUCAUUAUACUGUAUUAUAUCCUAUUCUACUGUAUCUUAGUCUAUGCCGCUCUGACGUUGCUCGCCCAAAUAUUUAUAUAUUCUUAAUGCCAUUCAUUUACUUUAGAUUUGUGUGUAUUGUUGUGAAAUUGUUAGAUAUUACUUGUUAGAUGUUACUGCACUGCUAGAGCUAGAAACACAAUCAUUUUGCUCACCUGCAAUAACAUCUGCUAAACACGUGUAUGUGACAAAUAGACAUGAGAGAAUUAGUGCUUCUGACAGGGUGGUGUCAUUGUAAAGAACUUUGUAAAAUAGAAUUGGAUGAUUGAGGGAUAGAUGGGUGUGACGGAGAAAGAGAUACCGACUGGAAACAAACUGGUUGAAUCAACGUCGUUUCCAUGUAAUACAUUUUUUUGUCCAUUUUUACUCAACGUUGAAUUUGCAUUAGUUGACAACUCAAUCAAAAUGUAAAUUAAAACUAGACGUUGAACUGACGUCUGUGCCAAGUGGGGAGAGACAGAGACAGCGAGAAAGGAAUGUGGGGUUGCUUGCUUAGCACAGACACUUGUGUCAUGGAGCUAAAAAUUCUGUGGAAAAUCCUCUAGUAGUCCACAAUGGCUCCAGAGCUGUUAUGGGUCUAGCCUGGACUGUCAGCAUUCCUCCCAAAUCUCACACUCCUCGAUCCACAUUUGCUCAAUCUUUCUCAUUCCAUUCCUCAUCUCAUCCCUUUUCUUUCACAGUGUUGUGAGUCAAAUAAAAUAUGUCAAUGUUUUAUCAAAUAG